GCUGAUCUUUGACAACCUGCACCAGUUCAAUCUGAAUAAAGAAUAAAAGAUGUGAGCUGAAGCCAACAGGAUGCAGGUUAAAACUGAAAUAUAAACAAAUAAAUAAUAAUAAUGUAGAAUAUUAAUUUCCCUGAAUGUAAAAGAAACAUGAUGAACUGAUUCUAACAUCUGAUCCAGUCAAACUGGUUUAAAGAGUCCAAACCAGCAGAACCAGAACAUUUGAUCAAAAAAGAAACUCAAAAGUUUUUCUAAAAGUUUCUCAGGAUCUUAAACUCAGUCGGAUGUUUUUUUUUUCUCUCUCCAUGUUUCCUUACAGGCUGACUGCUCUGUACCAUCAUUUAUCAACAGAGAUAUUUUAUGUCUCCAGUUUUUGUUAAUUAAUCUAUUAAUUAGGUUUUCUUGCUGGUUGUAUUUUAACUUCAGCUCAUUGCUAAGUAUGACAGAUGUAAACGGGUUUAUUUCAAUCUGUCUAAUUCAGUGUUUUACAAUAUCCAUUAAAGCUCACAUUCUGAAAGUUGAUCAUUUUCUCAUUUUGUGCUGAUUCAGUUACCGAACUAUCAACUAGAAAAUAUUUAGCCUUUUCUCUGUGAGAUUGAUGUGGGUCAUUUAGUUCAAGUUCUGAAUCCUUCAUCAGAGAUGGCUGCAUAAAUGGGAACAUUAUCAUAAAGGAAAAACAGGAAGGUGCAGAUGAGUCAUUUU